CGCGGUUAUACAAAUAAUGCAAAUAAGAUUUUUUAGUAAUAGUUAAUUUGUUUAAUUAUUAUAAAAUUAAAUUAAAUUUUUUAAGUGAAAUUUUAAAUUUAAUUAAUUUUAUAUUUUAUUUAAUGAAGCUAGAAAAUUUUAAUUAUAAACUAGGAUUAGAUACCCUAUUAUUUAAAAAGUAAGGUUAAAUACUUGAGUAGUAAUAGAUAUGGUCUUCAAACUUAAAGAAUUUGGCGGUGUUUUAGUCUCUUUAGAGGAACCUGUCCUGUAAUCGAUAAUCCACGUUGGACCUUACUAAAGUUUGUUUUCAAUUUGUAUAUCGCCGUUAUCAGAAUAUCUUAAAAGAGGAAUAAUUUUCUUAAUUUAUUAUUAUAAUUGAUGUCAGGUCAAGGUGCAGUUUAUAUUUUAGUAGAGAUGGGUUACAAUAAAUUUAUUUAAACGUUAAAUUGUUUGAAAUAAUGAUUUUAAGGUGGAUUUAAAAGUAAAAUAAUGUAUAUAAUUUAUUUGAUUAUAGCUCUAAAACAUGCACAC
rnacentral:rRNA from 1 species